rnacentral:rRNA from 1 species
GAUGAACGCUGGCGGCGUGCUUAACACAUGCAAGUCGAACGAAGCAACUUAUUACGAUCCCUUCGGGGUGACGAUUUGUUGACUGAGUGGCGGACGGGUGAGUAACGCGUGGGUAACCUACCUUGUACAGGGGGACAACAGUUGGAAACGACUGCUAAUACCGCAUAAGCGCACAGCUUCGCAUGAAGCAGUGUGAAAAGUUUUUUCGGUACAAGAUGGACCCGCGUCUGAUUAGCUAGUUGGUGAGGUAACGGCCCACCAAGGCGACGAUCAGUAGCCGACCUGAGAGGGUGACCGGCCACAUUGGGACUGAGACACGGCCCAAACUCCUACGGGAGGCAGCAGUGGGGAAUAUUGCACAAUGGGCGAAAGCCUGAUGCAGCGACGCCGCGUGAGCGAAGAAGUAUUUCGGUAUGUAAAGCUCUAUCAGCAGGGAAGAUAAUGA